GAUGAACGCUGGCGGCGUGCUUAACACAUGCAAGUCGAACGGAAAGGCUCCUGCUUGCCGGGGUACUCGAGUGGCGAACGGGUGAGUAACACGUGGGUGAUCUGCCCUGCACUUCGGGAUAAGCCUGGGAAACUGGGUCUAAUACCGGAUAGGACCACAUUUUGGAUGGUGUGGUGGAAAGUUUUUCGGUGUGGGGUGAGCUCGCGGCCUAUCAGCUUGUUGGUGGGGUAAUGGCCUACCAAGGCGUCGACGGGUAGCCGGCCUGGGAGGGUGUACGGCCACAUUGGGACUGAGAUACGGCCCAGACUCCUACGGGAGGCAGCAGUGGGGAAUAUUGCACAAUGGGCGCAAGCCUGAUGCAGCGACGCCGCGUGGGGGAUGACGGCCUUCGGGUUGUAAACUCCUUUCGCUAGGGACGAAGCGCAAGUGACGGUACCUGGAGAAGAAGCACCGGCUAACUACGCG
rnacentral:rRNA from 1 species